CCUACGGGAGGCUGCAGUGGGGAAUAUUGCGCAAUGGGCGCAACCCUGAUCCAGCGACGCCGCGUGAAUGAAGAAGCCCUUCGGGUUGUAAACUUCUGUUGACAGGGAAGAGUAUAACACUGUAUCUGUCGAAUGCCCCACCUCACUACGUGCCCGCAGCCGCGGUGAUACGUAUGGGGCAAGCGUUAUCCGGAUUUACUGGGGGUAAAGGGGGCGUAGACGGCGGUGCAAGACAGAUGUGAAAGCCCGGGGCUCAACCCCGGGACUGCGCUUGAAACUGUGUGGCUGGAGUGCAGGAGAGGCAGACGGAAUUCCUAGUGUAGCGGUGAAAUGCGUAGAUAUUAGGAGGAACACCAGUGGCGAAGGCGGUCUGCUGGACAGCAACUGACGGUGAGGCGCGAAAGCGUGGGGAGCAAACAGGAUUAGAUACCCGAGUAGUC
rnacentral:rRNA from 1 species